rnacentral:rRNA from 1 species
UGGGUAACCUGCCUCAAAGAGGGGAAUAGCCUCCCGAAAGGGAGAUUAAUACCGCAUAAUAUGUUUUAAUCGCAUGAUUUUAACAUCAAAGGAUUUUCUUAGGAAAUUCCACUUUGAGAUGGACCCGCGGCGCAUUAGCUAGUUGGUGAGGUAACGGCUCACCAAGGCAACGAUGCGUGGCCGACCUGAGAGGGUGAUCGGCCACAUUGGAACUGAGACACGGUCCAGACUCCGUAGGGAGG